rnacentral:tRNA from 1 species
AUCUAUAUAGUUUAUAUAAAAUAAUGAUUUGUGGUUUCAUAGAUAUUGAUUAAUUAUAGGUU